GUUUCUCUGUACAGACACUUAUGCAUGUGUGCCAUCAUGUGCACUGUGAAAGAGUACGAUGUUGCAGUAAUCAUAAUAAUAAUUAAAUAAAAAUAUAUAACAACAACUAAAAUAUAUAUAUAUAAUAAUAUCGAUAGGAUUUCUCAUGAUAUCGUAGGCGGCCUAAUAACUUUAUUCGACAUUUUUCUUCUUCGUUCACUUGGCCCUACUGUACACAUGUAUACCCACCGCCAGGCGGCGCUCCCUUCAGUUUAGCGGGAGAUUUGUAUUACAAGUGGCGGCCAUUUUGUUUGUUUACGGAAACGUGAUGAAAGCUUAGACCUAGAACAAAAUCACGUUAUAUAUACAGUAUAUAUUGGCGACAUUUAAUUUCCCCACUCACGGAAUACAAUCGACAAACUAGGAACAGAAUAUCAAAUUUCGUCUAGCUUUUGGCGACUUAUGAUACCCCUUUCACCGGCGAACACUGAAUUAUCGGACAACAUGAAAUCAGGGACUAAAUUCACCAGCAUUCAUGAUCCUCGGACCACCCGCCCCCUACGCACAGCCGAUUUAUAAAUGUUGCAUCUUUCAAUCAGUGUCAAUCCCAAGAAGAACCCUGAUCAGCUCCUGGAAAAAUCAGUGUUCUUGCAGUAUUGUCAGUCAAAUCUCAAGGAAAGGAUCCCAGAAGAGGAACAUUUACAUUAUUUCAGACUUUUUUCUUUCCUGUGUAACAAUGCCUCAAACAGCUAACACAUUUUAUAUAGUAUACAAUACAAUGUGUAUUAAUAACAGUCCAGUUAGAGUGCUGUGUUAUGUAGUAAAAAUACUUAAUUCUUGAUGACAUGUUGGUUUUAUGUUUACAUUAAACGGUAGUUAUAAUAUAUACUAAAGAAACAUAGUGGAUAAUGCCUUGUACAGGAGCAGGAGUAUGACAGUGUAAUAGUACAUGACUGCUGCGUUCAUCCAUGGAAGGAAUCUGUUUUAAUAUUCGAAAUAAAGCUUUCCAUGAGGACGAAAAA